AAUGAACGCUGGCGGCGUGCCUUACACAUGCAAGUCGGAUGUGUCGCAAGACACAUGGCAGACGGGUGAGUAACACGUGGGAAACUUACCUCUUAGUGGGGAAUAACGCUCCGAAAGGAGCGGUAAUACCGCAUGAGACCUAUCGCUGGGAUGCGAUAGAUGAAAGCUGGGGAUCGUAAGACCUAGCGCUGAGAGAGAGUCCUGCGUCUGAUUAGUUAGUUGGUGAGGUAACGGCUCACCAAGACUUCGAUCAGUAGCCGGCCUGAGAGGGCGAUCGGCCACACUGGAACUGAGACACGGUCCAGACUCCUACGGGAGGCAGCAGUGGGGAAUCUUGCGCAAUGGGCGAAAGCCUGACGCAGCAACGCCGCGUGGGUGAUGAAGGUCUUCGGAUUGUAGAACCCUGUCGUUAGGGACGAAGGCAUGAAUCCUAAUACGGUUCAUGUUUGACGGUACCUAGAAAGGAAGCCCCGGCUAACUCUGUG
rnacentral:rRNA from 1 species